rnacentral:rRNA from 1 species
UACGAAGGGGGCUAGCGUUGCUCGGAAUUACUGGGCGUAAAGGGCGCGUAGGCGGACAGUUUAGUCAGAGGUGAAAGCCCAGGGCUCAACCCUGGAAUUGCCUUUGAUACUGGCUGUCUUGAGUACGGGAGAGGUGUGUGGAACUCCGAGUGUAGAGGUGAAAUUCGUAGAUAUUCGGAAGAACACCAGUGGCGAAGGCGGCUAACUGGUCCAGAUCUGACGCUGAGGUGCGAAAGCGUGGGGAGCAAACAGG